rnacentral:tRNA from 1 species
UAGCUCAGUCAGUUGAGCGUGGCACUAACAACGCCAAGGUCACGGGUUCGAUUCCCGU